AGCACAGCCACCUUCACGUGAGGGUGAGGAGCAGUCUUCUCCGGGAGCUUCCAAGGAUGCACCGAGUGGCUCUGUGGACCCCGCUCGCCGGAGGUGUAGUCACCACACUCUCCGGCUGGGGGUCCAGGUCUGGUCCCGUUAUUACUGGGAUUUCUGUGGGAGGAGCAGGUUUCCCUGUUGUUCGGGGCCUGGCAAUCUUCCCCCCUGAGCUUGAUUGGUUCAGAGUCAUAGAUGUUUCAACUGAAGAUGCUUUCCCCUCCCGCGCUCUUCCCUGACACGAUGGAGGGAAAAUGGAACGACGUGGAAGGGGAGGAGAGGGAAGAGCAGAUGUAUGGGAGGAAGAGGAGACAGGGGAACACCGUCAGAAACACAUGCCUGGACCUGGGAUCUUGAUUGGGCAAUAUCCGCUCCUGUGAGUUUUUUCACAUACACAAUUGGAGAUGGUGGCAGUAGGGCAAGCCUUCUGGUUGUCUGUGCAGGGAGGGAUCCAGAUACAUGCUUCACCACUUUAGGCGUCGACUGUUCUUGGGGAGGAGGGAGAACUGUUUGUCCCAUAUCAUGGCUUUUCAUAAUAUGGUCAACUAAAACUGGCUUUGGUCCAAGGUUCAGCCUCCCGGGUCCCAUAUCCUCUACUGGUGGUUGUGUAGAUGGCACCGCUGGAGCAUUGCAGGUAAGUGGUGAAGUAGUGGAAGUUUGGAGUAAAUCCUGUGCUUCCUGUAUGGCUUGUGGGCUCAAUUUAGCUUUGUAGCGCUUCGUGGCCCGGUUUACUGAAAUCUUGAAAGCAGUGUCAUUAAAGGGAAUGUUUCUGACCGUUAAAAUUAUUUUUUGACAGUGUUCUUGUAAGAUGGAGAGGUUCUUGAACAUCCAGGCCUUAGUGUUACUCGCUACAGCCUGUCUCACUUCAUCAGAGGGUGAGGAAGGUUUAAUAAAAGCGGUGAGCUUUUGUACUUGCCUACACAUGCCACGGGGUGGAUUCUGGGUGGUGAUUGCCCUAUCUAUAAUCCCCUUAUGGUGGACGGCCUGUAACAAUUUAAAAAAAGCUUUAGCUGCCUGUCUGGUUUCUACAUUCAAAGUCUGGUGUGGUGGAGCUAUUGUAGCUAAUGGCUGUCUGUGUUCCCUAUGUGUCUCCUGUGUGUUUAAUGUGUCUGUGUCCCUGUCCCUAUGGGGUCCUCUGCUUCCCGCUGGUCGGCUGGAUUGGACCGUCUUGGACCUGUGAA